rnacentral:rRNA from 1 species
CCUACGGGCGGCUGCAGUGGGGAAUAUUGGACAAUGGGGGGAACCCUGAUCCAGCCAUGCCGCGUGUGUGAAGAAGGCCCUCGGGUUGUAAAGCACUUUCAGUGAGGAAGAACGCCUGGUGGUUAAUACCCAUCAGGAAAGACAUCACUCACAGAAGAAGCACCGGCUAACUCCGUGCCAGCAGCCGCGGUAAUACGGAGGGUGCGAGCGUUAAUCGGAAUUACUGGGCGUAAAGCGCGCGUAGGUGGCUUGAUAAGCCGGUUGUGAAAGCCCCGGGCUCAACCUGGGAACGGCAUCCGGAACUGUCAAGCUAGAGUGCAGGGGAGGAAGGUAGAAUUCCCGGUGUAGCGGUGAAUUGCGUAGAGAUCGGGAGGAAUACCAGUGGCGAAGGCGGCCUUCUGGACUGACACUGACACUGAGGUGCGAAAGCGUGGGUAGCAAACAGGAUUAGAUACCCUUGUAGUC